CCUACGGGAGGCAGCAGUGAGGAAUAUUGGUCAAUGGACGCAAGUCUGAACCAGCCAUGCCGCGUGCAGGAAGACGGCUCUAUGAGUUGUACACUGCUUUUGUACGAGGGCAAACGCAGAUACGCGUAUCUGUCUGAAAGUAUCGUACGAAUAAGGAUCGGCAAACCUCGUUCCAGCCGCCGCGGUAAUACGGGGGAUUCAAGGGUUAUCCGGAUUUAUGGGGAUAAAGGGGUGGUAUGCGGUAGGGUAAGUUUAGGGUGAAAUUCCGAGGCUCAACUUCGGAAUUGCCUCUGAUACUGUUCGGCUAGAGAGUAGUUGCGGUAGGCGGAAUGUAUGGUGUAGCAGUGAAAUGCUUAGAGAUCAUACAGAACACCGAUUGCGAAGGCAGCUUACCAAGCUACUUCUGACGUUGAGGCACGAAAGCGUGGGGAGCAAACAGGAUUAGAUACCCGAGUAGUC
rnacentral:rRNA from 1 species